UACGUAGGGGGCAAGCGUUGUCCGGAUUUAUUGGGCGUAAAGAGCGUGUAGGCGGCCAGGUAGGUCGGUUGUGAAAACUGGAGGCUCAACCUUCAGACGUCGACCGAAACCAUCUGGCUAGAGUCCGGGAGAGGAGAGUGGAAUUCCUGGUGUAGCGGUGAAAUGCGCAGAUAUCAGGAAGAACACCCGUGGCGAAAGCGGCUCUCUGGAACGGUACUGACGCUGAGACGCGAAAGCGUGGGGAGCAAACAGG
rnacentral:rRNA from 1 species